CACACGUGAGAGCACGUGUCGACCACGGAAGGGUUCUUCACCUGAGAGGCUGAAUGUGCCCCAGUCCCCAAGCACACGGAUCCCUGGCCACAAAACGCACCUCAAUAGCAGGAGGGUCAGAACCACUCGGCGUACGUCCUCCAACAGUGAAGUCAGAACCAUCGCAUUAAGAUCCCUGUGAACUUCCUGUGACUUCCUACAACACACGCCUACAACAGGACGUGCCGAGGAGACCGCUGAACUAAUCACGACCGAAACGUGGCCUUCAAGACCUGUGGGCUGUGGUCAAGGCGCCUUAGAGUCUAAAUCUACGACUUCACACCCUUGUGUUGGAAAAAAAACAAAGACUUAAAUGAUCUGAGCUUCCGCCUUGAAAAUCUAGAAAAAGAAGAGGAAAUUGAUCUUCUCUUUUCCGAAGGUUUAAAUAAAGAGCAGAAAUGAACCAAAAAGAAAACGAACAGAGAGAACCAGGACCCCCUGGAAGUUGGUUCUUUGAAAAGAUUAAUAAAAUCGAUGAGCUCCUAGAUUCUCAGAGAGAGAGAGAGAGGACCAGAAUGAGGAAUGAAGACAGGACAGCACCGCGGAGCUGCAGACGUCGGAGGGACUCCUCUGACAAGUUCACACCAAAACAUCGACACCAAAGCAACUGAGCCAACUCCUCAAAAGAUGCAAGAAGAGAGAGAGACUCCAAAAAGAAGAGUAUCUGACAAAAGCUGAAUUCAGACUCAGAGCACCACACAGACAACAGCAGAGGUGCCUUGGUUCCAGGAAGGACAGGUCAGUGGUUGCAUGGACGGGCCAGCACCGAGAGGAGGCACGGGUCUGUCUGCAGUCCUCAGAGGCUGCAGAGGCUGGCCCGGCGUCCCCGCCCUCCCGGGUUGAGAGGAGACGGUGUCACAGGACGUAGCAGAUGCUCCUGGGUGCCCCUACCAGGGAGUCCUUGGGCCCCCUGGAAUCUGGCUCCCUCUGUCCCUUCCUCAUCACCAGGAGCCUCUGGCGCUGCAGCUGCGCCUGUCACCGUCCUCUCUGCUGGACCAGGCGUCGUGUGGGCUGACGCACGGCUCCAGCUCCGCAGGGCAAGGGACCCCCUUUUUACUAGUAAGAAACACCAACAUGAAGGCCUGCGUGCACGCCCACGGGGCCCACAUCGUUACCCGCCAAGCAAGAGCUGAGGGCAUCAGGCUGCGCCUGACCUGGGACAGUGGGGACCAGGAGGGAGUGACCACGUUGUCGUCUUCAGGAACUUCGUGUGGCAGAGGAAGCACCCGUCAACGACCCUCUGUCACUUCACAGUGGACACCGGGAUCCACG
rnacentral:lncRNA from 1 species